ACUGCGCUGGUGCCGGUGCCGCCGCCGCCGCCGCUGCCGCCGCCGGGGAGGCUCGCGCUGGCUGCCCUGCCACUGCUGCUGCGCCUUCGCCGCUGGAAAGCAGCAGAUUGAGCGGCUCGGCCGAGGCGGCCGCCCGCAGACACUGGUUCAGGUGCAUCUCUUUCGCGAUCCUUGUCGCCGCUUCCCGAGCUGGCUCAAAGAACGGCCCGAACAAAUGGGAAAAGACUGAGAAGGAGAGUUUGCUGGGAAGGGAACAGAGGGAGAAAAAGCAGUAACGUGUGACUUCUGAGAUGGUGAAGCCAGGCUAACACUUCUCGGAGGGAAGUAAAGGAAAGCUCCGCCCCCAGCGUCUACGAUUUGUUUUGCAUCUCGUGAAGGGUGCAGGGGCCUUUCUCUGCUAUUGUUGCCUGAGGCCUAGAAUUUAAAUAUAUCACAGAUGGAAAUUCCAUAUUAAAAAGCCUCCCCCUAAAAUGCCUGUGAAAUUGCCCCAGAGAGACAGACCACACCACCCAUUUCUUCUGUUACUGUAGAGACCGGCUCUCCAAACCCCAAACCGAGGUGUUAUGCUUUGAAUAUGAAAUGUCUCCAGAAGGCUAGUGUCUUGAGGACUUGGUCUCCAGGGCAAGGAAGGACUUGGGGAAGUGACUGGAUCAGGGGACUUCUGUUUGACCUGAUCAAUGAUUUAAUCCUUCAAUGGGUUCAUAGUUGAAUGGACUAUGGGGAAGCAAAGGGAACUGGAAUGCAGUCUUGACUAGCAAUAAGCAGGUUAGUAGAGUGUAUCUUCAAAGAGUAUAUCUUAUACCUUCCUCCCUCUGUUUCUGUGUCCUGCCUACACUGAAAGUACCAGCCUACACUGCCACCAUGGAAUUCUACCUCAUCUCAGGCCCAGAGCAAUGAAGCCCCUAGGGAAAAAGAGCUGAACCCUCCAAAA